AGGUCUGUGUCUUCCUGCUUGCUGCAUCUCAUUAAGGGCCUGAGGUGUGGAGGGACCAAUGAUAAUUAUGAAAAGUGAUUUGUGCCCACUCAUGCAACUCCUGGAGAUAACAGCACAGUGCCACCCCACAACUGAAUUCACCAUCAGCAUUAGCUGCAGUCGCUGUUUGGGCAACGACUCAUCUGAUGGUCCCUCUCGAUCUCCCCACACAUCCACCAACCACUGGAACACAUCUCCAAAGUUCUGCCGGGCCAGCUCAGCUUCCCCUCAGAAGAAGUCCCGCCACCUGCCAGAUGAAGGAGCCUUUUGAGAGGCAGCUGGCAUCAUGAUUGGACUGUACUUUGGUCUGUUCCAAUCCAGCUUCAGCUCCAGAGACGGCAGGCGGGACGAGUCAACGGAGGCCUGGUGGACGAAGGCAUGCAGCUGAGUACAAUCCAGAAAACAACAGAGGAGGAGUGCAGCAGUCCAGGGCCAGAACAACCAGAGUAUGUCUCUUAGAAAACAUCAUAGUAUAGCCUUUGGUAUGAAAAAACGCCAUCAUAUACAUCGUAUAUUGUACAUAUAACAAGUCAGAGGAAAGAGACAUACAUUGUAGAAUUGUAGUAAUUGUGGGCUGACUGAUUUACUGAUUAUCAGUAUUUUAUUUUUUACUGAUUUACGGUAAUAAAUACAUUUAAAAAUGGCGCUACUUUGGCUCUGAACCUUUAUCUACCUGUGGUUGCUCUGUCUUCUGGAGUGAUUUGAUUGGUUAUACGUAACGAAUAAAACUCCUUUAACUUAACAUCUGUAAACAAAACAAAAACGUAACAACAAAGUUUUCUGUUAGAGUUUGUGUUCUUCUAAGUUUAAC